rnacentral:snRNA from 1 species
UAGCGCUUAAGCGCGAAC